rnacentral:rRNA from 1 species
GACGAACGCUGGCGGCGUGCUUAACACAUGCAAGUCGAACGGAAAGGCCCUGCUUUUGUGGGGUGCUCGAGUGGCGAACGGGUGAGUAACACGUGAGUAACCUGCCCUUGACUUUGGGAUAACUUCAGGAAACUGGGGCUAAUACCGGAUAGGAGCUCCUGCUGCAUGGUGGGGGUUGGAAAGUUUCGGCGGUUGGGGAUGGACUCGCGGCUUAUCAGCCUGUUGGUGGGGUAGUGGCUUACCAAGGCUUUGAAGGGUAGCCGUCCUGAGAGGGUGCCCGGCCACCUUGGGACUGAGUUACGGCCCAGACUCCUCCGGCAGGCAGCAGUGGGGAAUAUUGCGCAAUGGGCGGAAGCCUGAUGCAGCAGCGCCGCGUGCGGGAUAACGGCCUUCGGGUUGUAAACCGCUUUCGCCUGUGACGAAGCGUGAGUGACGGUAAUGAGUAAAGAAGCACCGGCUAACUACGUG